UUAUUUGAAUAAUAAUUAUGUUGAGGUGAAUAUAAAUGUCGAGAAAAAGAAUGUAAAUUUGCCGUGUAAUAUCAUCAAGAAAAGAAGAAAGAACCAAAAGGGUUCACAUUUGAAGAUUCCUUGCAACCAACCGUCACUGUUAGGAAAAAAAAAAAAUCAAAUUGGCUAUCCCAGGAAAACGAACAAAGAUAUCAAAAAACGACGAAAGGACCGAGACCUAGAGUUGUCACUGUUAAACCAAAGCAAACGUACACGUUGGGAUAUGAAGCAUGUAUAAACGUCCUCCUUUAAUGUUACAUUGGCAUGGUCUGGUUUGUUUAGUUG
rnacentral:lncRNA from 1 species